rnacentral:rRNA from 1 species
ACGUACACUCCUACGGGAGGCAGCAGUGGGGAAUAUUGGACAAUGGGCGAAAGCCUGAUCCAGCAAUGCCGCGUGAGUGAUGAAGGCCUUAGGGUUGUAAAGCUCUUUUACCCGGGAUGAUAAUGACAGUACCGGGAGAAUAAGCCCCGGCUAACUCCGUGCCAGCAGCCGCGGUAAUACGGAGGGGGCUAGCGUUGUUCGGAAUUACUGGGCGUAAAGCGCGCGUAGGCGGCUUUGUAAGUUAGAGGUGAAAGCCCGGAGCUCAACUUCGGAAUUGCCUUUAAGACUGCAUCGCUAGAAUCGUGGAGAGGUGAGUGGAAUUCCGAGUGUAGAGGUGAAAUUCGUAGAUAUUCGGAAGAACACCAGUGGCGAAGGCGACUCACUGGACACGUAUUGACGCUGAGGUGCGAAAGCGUGGGGAGCAAACAGGAUUAGAAACCCGGGUAGUCCC